CAGUUGGGGCGGUCAGUAUUCCAAAGCGAGAGGUGAAAUUCUUAGACCUUCGGAAGACUAACAGCUGCGAAAGCGUUCCGCAAGGAUGUUCCCUUUGAUCAAGAACGAAAGUUGGGGGAUCGAAGACGAUCAGAUACCGUCGUAGUCUCAACUAUAAACUAUACCAGCUAGGGAUCGGCCAACGUUAUUUUAUACCGACUUGGUCGGCACCUUAUGAGAAAUCAAAGCAUCUGGGUUCCGGGGGGAGUAUGGUCGCAAGGCUGAAACUUAAAGGAAUUGACGGAAGGGCACCACCAGCCGUGGAGCCUGUGGCUUAAUUUGACUCAACACGGGAAAACUUACCAGGUCCAGACAUAGUAAGGAUUGACAGAUUGAUAGCUCUUUCUUGAUUCUGUGG
rnacentral:rRNA from 1 species